AACGAACGUUAGCGGCGCGCCUAACACAUGCAAGUCGAGCGAGAAAGGGAGCAAUCCCCGGUACAGCGGCGCACGGGUGAGUAACACGUAGGUAACCUACCCUCGAGUGGUGGAUAACCUUCCGAAAGGAGGGCUAAUACAGCAUGAGCCCACGGGGUCGAGAGACUCUGGGGGAAAAGCCGGCCUCUUCACGAAAGCUGGUGCUCGAGGAGGGGCCUGCGGCCCAUCAGCUAGUUGGUGAGGUAAUGGCUCACCAAGGCUAAGACGGGUAGCUGGUCUGAGAGGAUGAUCAGCCACACUGGAACUGAGACACGGUCCAGACUCCUACGGGAGGCAGCAGUGGGGAAUCUUGCGCAAUGGGCGAAAGCCUGACGCAGCGACGCCGCGUGAGUGAUGAAGGCCUUCGGGUUGUAAAGCUCUGUGGAGGGGGACGAAUAAGGCAUGGCUAACAUCCAUGUCGAUGACGGUACCCCUUUAGCAAGCACCGGCUAACUCUGUGCCAGCAGCCGCCGUAACAC
rnacentral:rRNA from 1 species